rnacentral:lncRNA from 1 species
UGGAAAAUUAUACGUGAGAAAUGAGUGUCAUGAUCAAGUGCUGCAUAUUGGAUGGAUUAUUAAGGUUCAAAAUUAAAACAUAUACAAUAUUGCCGAUGCCAAGAGCUCUCUAAUCAUAAAUCAGUUCCCCUGACCCCUUCAUAAUCAUGAGAUUGCCCUAAAGAGCAUCGGAUUUUACAUAAUAAUAAAUGCGAAAGGUUUUUUUUUAUAAUUGGCCUUCUGUUUUUGGAGCCUGAGGUGGUCGUGUGCUCAAACCUCCCCUGGCAAUCAGCGGGACGCUCUAUUUGUUUCUUAGUGAAGGAGGGGGUCUUUCUGUGAGGCUCUAUUUGGUAAUAUUAUGCUUUAGGAGAAAAGGAACAUUUUUCAUCAGAUCCUUUUGUGGCAUCACAGCGAAGAGAGGUGGAGGUGCUGCAAUGCUGGGAGCUGCAGCCGUAUGACACAGCCUUGUGCUGCACGGGUUGUGUUAAGCCCAUGGCCAGGCAGUGCGGCUCCUGCAAAGUCAGCCCAGCCUUAUGGGACCAGCAUGGAUGCUUCCUGCCCCGAGCUGGUGGGGAGCAUGGAUGGGAUGGGAUGGGAUGGGAUGGAUUCAAAUGGGAUGGGAUGGGAUGGGAUGGGAUGGGAUGGGAUGGGAUUGGUUGGGGUUAAAAGAGAUGAGGUGAGAUGGGAUGGGGUGGGAUGAGAUGAGGUGGGAUGGGAUGGAGUGGGAUGGGGUGGAGUAGGGGAAGAUGGAUAAGCUGGAGAGGUCUUGUGUACUGCAUCCUUGUGUGCUCAGUUUUUGGUCUUAUCAUAGAAUCACUGAAUCAUUAGAAUUGGAAGGGCCAUCUGAUCCAACUCCCUGCAAUGAAUAGGGACACCCACAUCUCCAUCAGGUGCUCAGUGCCCUGUCCCUCUUACCUCGGGUGUCUCCAAGGACAGUGCACCACCACCUCUCCGGGCAACCUGUGCCACUGCCUCACCACUCUGACUGCAAAAGAUUUUGUUCUUAUAUCCAGGUCCUCCUGGGCCCACUGCUCA